AGAGUUUGAUCCUGGCUCAGGACGAACGCUGGCGGCGCGCCUAACACAUGCAAGUCGAACGAGCGAGAGAGAGCUUGCUUUCUCGAGCGAGUGGCGAACGGGUGAGUAACGCGUGAGGAACCUGCCUCAAAGAGGGGGACAACAGUUGGAAACGACUGCUAAUACCGCAUAAGCCCACAGCUCGGCAUCGAGCAGAGGGAAAAGGAGCAAUCCGCUUUGAGAUGGCCUCGCGUCCGAUUAGCUAGUUGGUGAGGUAAUGGCCCACCAAGGCGACGAUCGGUAGCCGGACUGAGAGGUUGAACGGCCACAUUGGGACUGAGACACGGCCCAGACUCCUACGGGAGGCAGCAGUGGGGAAUAUUGCACAAUGGGGGAAACCCUGAUGCAGCGACGCCGCGUGGAGGAAGAAGGUCUUCGGAUUGUAAACUCCUGUUGUUGAGGAAGAUAAUGACGGUACUCAACAAGGAAGUGACGGCUAACUACGUGCCAGCAGCCGCGGUAAAACGUAGAUCACAAGCGUUGUCCGGAAUUACUGGGUGUAAAGGGAGCGCAGGCGGGAAGACAAGUUGGAAGUGAAAUCUAUGGGCUCAACCCAUAAACUGCUUUCAAAACUGUUUUUCUUGAGUAGUGCAGAGGUAGGCGGAAUUCCCGGUGUAGCGGUGGAAUGCGUAGAUAUCGGGAGGAACACCAGUGGCGAAGGCGGCCUACUGGGCACCAACUGACGCUGAGGCUCGAAAGUGUGGGUAGCAAACAGGAUUAGAUACCCUGGUAGUCCACACCGUAAACGAUGAUUACUAGGUGUUGGAGGAUUGACCCCUUCAGUGCCGCAGUUAACACAAUAAGUAAUCCACCUGGGGAGUACGACCGCAAGGUUGAAACUCAAAGGAAUUGACGGGGGCCCGCACAAGCAGUGGAGUAUGUGGUUUAAUUCGACGCAACGCGAAGAACCUUACCAAGUCUUGACAUCCCUUGACGAUGCUGGAAACAGUAUUUCUCUUCGGAGCAAGGAGACAGGUGGUGCAUGGUUGUCGUCAGCUCGUGUCGUGAGAUGUUGGGUUAAGUCCCGCAACGAGCGCAACCCUUACUGUCAGUUACUACGCAAGAGGACUCUGGCAGGACUGCCGUUGACAAAACGGAGGAAGGUGGGGAUGACGUCAAAUCAUCAUGCCCUUUAUGACUUGGGCUACACACGCACUACAAUGGCGUUAAACAAAGAGAAGCAAGACCGCGAGGUGGAGCAAAACUCAGAAACAACGUCCCAGUUCGGACUGCAGGCUGCAACUCGCCUGCACGAAGUCGGAAUUGCUAGUAAUCGUGGAUCAGCAUGCCACGGUGAAUACGUUCCCGGGCCUUGUACACACCGCCCGUCAA
rnacentral:rRNA from 1 species